rnacentral:rRNA from 1 species
UACGUAGGGUGCAAGCGUUGUCCGGAAUUAUUGGGCGUAAAGAGCUCGUAGGCGGUCUGUCGCGUCUGCUGUGAAAACUCGGGGCUUAACCCCGGGCCUGCAGUGGGUACGGGCAGACUAGAGUGCGGUAGGGGAGACUGGAAUUCCUGGUGUAGCGGUGAAAUGCGCAGGUAUCAGGAGGAACACCGGUGGCGAAGGCGGGUCUCUGGGCCGUAACUGACGCUGAGGAGCGAAAGCAUGGGGAGCGAACAGG